rnacentral:snRNA from 1 species
GUGCUUGCUUUGGCAGCACAUAUACUAAAAUUGGAACGAUAGAGAAGAUUAGCAUGGCCCCUGUGCAAGGAUGACACGCAAAUUCAUGAAGCAUUCCAUAUUUUU